rnacentral:rRNA from 1 species
AUUGAACGCUGGCGGCGUGCUUUACACAUGCAAGUCGAACGGUCCAUAUGUGCUUGCACAUAUGGGUAGUGGCGAACGGGUGAGUAAUACAUCGAGACGUACCGUAUAGAGUGGGAUAACUAAUCGAAAGAUUAGCUAAUACCGCAUAAUCUCUGCGGAGGAAAGGUGGGGAACAGAAAUGUCCUGUCGCUAUAUGAGCGGUCGAUGGUUGAGUAGCUAGUCGGUGGGGUAAAGGCUUACCGAGGCGAUGAUCAAUAGCUGGUCUGAGAGGAGGAUCAGCCACAGUGGGACUGAGACACAGCCCAGACUCCUACGGGAGGCAGCAGUGGGGAAUAUUGGACAAUGGGGGCAACCCUGAUCCAGCAACGCCGCGUGAAUGAAGAAGGCCUUCGGGUUGUAAAGUUCUUUUGUAUGGGAGCAAAAGUAUUUAGUGAAUAGCUGAAUAAACUGAGAGUACCAUAAGAAUAAGCACCGGCUAACUACGUGCCAGCCGCCGCGGUAA